GCAAGUCGAGCGGAAACGACACUAACAAUCCUUAGGGUGCGUUAAUGGGCGUCGAGCGGCGGACGGGUGAGUAAUGCCUAGGAAAUUGCCUUGGUGUGGGGGAUAACCAUUGGAAACGAUGGCUAAUACCGCAUAAUGCCUACGGGCCAAAGAGGGGGACCUUCGGGCCUCUCGCGUCAAGAUAUGCCUAGGUGGGAUUAGCUAGUUGGUGAGGUAAUGGCUCACCAAGGCGACGAUCCCUAGCUCGUCUGAGAGGAUGAUC
rnacentral:rRNA from 1 species